rnacentral:rRNA from 1 species
CAGUAGCCACGGGAAUACAGAGGGUGCGAGCGUUAAUCGGAUUUACUGGGCGUAAAGCGUGCGUAGGCGGCUUCUUAAGUCGGAUGUGAAAUCCCUGAGCUUAACUUAGUAAUUGCAUUCGAUACUGGGAAGCUAGAGUAUGGGAGAGGAUGGUAGAAUUCCAGGUGUAGCGGUGAAAUGCGUAGAGAUCUGGAGGAAUACCGAUGGCGAAGGCAGCCAUCUGGCCUAAUACUGACGCUGAGGUACGAAAGCAUGGGGAGCAAACAGGAUUAGAUACCCGUGUAGUCCCUGUCUCUUAUAC